rnacentral:rRNA from 1 species
UACAGAGGUUGCAAGCGUUAAUCGGAAUUACUGGGCGUAAAGCGCACGUAGGUGGCGACGUAAGUCGGGUGUGAAAGCCCCGGGCUCAACCUGGGAAUUGCAUUCGAGACUGCAUUGCUGGAGUACGGAAGAGGAGGGCGGAAUUCCCGGUGUAGCGGUGAAAUGCGUAGAUAUCGGGAGGAACAUAAGUGGCGAAGGCGGCCCUCUGGUCCAGUACUGACACUCAAGUGCGAAAGCGUGGGGAGCAAACAGG